ACGCACGCUGGCGGCGUGCUUAACACAUGCAAGUCGCACGGAAAGGCCCUGCUUUUGUGGGGUGCUCGAGUGGCGAACGGGUGAGUAACACGUGAGUAACCUGCCCUUGACUUUGGGAUAACUUCAGGAAACUGGGGCUAAUACCGGAUAGGAGCUCCUGCUGCAUGGUGGGGGUUGGAAAGUUUCGGCGGUUGGGGAUGGACUCGCGGCUUAUCAGCUUGUUGGUGGGGUAGUGGCUUACCAAGGCUUUGACGGGUAGCCGGCCUGAGAGGGUGUCCGGCCACAUUGGGACUGAGAUACGGCCCAGACUCCUACGGGAGGCAGCAGUGGGGAAUAUUGCACAAUGGGCGGAAGCCUGAUGCAGCAACGCCGCGUGCGGGAUGACGGCCUUCGGGUUGUAAACCGCUUUCGCCUGUGACGAAGCGUGAGUGACGGUAAUGGGUAAAGAAGCACCGGCUAACUACGUG
rnacentral:rRNA from 1 species